rnacentral:rRNA from 1 species
GAUGAACGCUGGCGGCGUACCUAAUACAUGCAAGUCGAGCGAAUGGAUUGAGAGCUUGCUCUUAUGAAGUUAGCGGCGGACGGGUGAGUAACACGUGGGUAACCUGCCCAUAAGACUGGGAUAACUCCGGGAAACCGGGGCUAAUACCGGAUAACAUUUUGAACCGCAUGGUUUGAAAUUGAACGGCGGCUUCGGCUGUCACUUAUGGAUGGACCCGCGUCGCAUUAGCUAGUUGGUGAGGUAACGGCUCACCAAGGCAACGAUGCGUAGCCGACCUGAGAGGGUGAGCGGCCACACUGGGACUGAGACACGGCACAGGCGCCUACGGGAGGCAGCAGUAGGGAAUCUUCCGCAAUGGACGAAAGUCUGACGGAGCAACGCCGCGUGAGUGAUGAAGGCUUUCGGGUCGUAAAACUCUGUUGUUAGGGAAGAACAAGUGCUAGUUGAAUAAGCUGGCACCUUGACGGUACCUAACCAGAAAGCCACGGCUAACUACGUGCCAGCAGCCGCAGUAA